UGUGAGCGCAUCUCUUCCAAUAUUUUACAGGUGGGAAAUUCGGUGGAAAAUAACAUCAUGCUUUUCAAUUGAAGAGGCUGCAUUGUAAAAAUAUGCAUUAACCUAGCGGUUGGGUGAUAGUUCUCUGUCCCCGUUUGACGUUGUUAUAAGAAAUCAACUUAAUCUAAUAUUUCUCUUCAGGAGAAAAAACGUUAUGGUUAAAUGGGAAUGAACAACGGUUAAUGAUGUUUGAAGACUUUUGAAACAUUCAUAUGUUUCAAAAGGACUUUGUUUAGUGCAAUUGUAGAAGUUCUGGUAAUAGGAGGUAUAUUCAGUUUCAUUUGAGAUUUGAAUAGUUGCUAUCCAGAAUAACGCGAUACCGAUUACUGAUUUGACA
rnacentral:RNase_P_RNA from 2 species